AGAGUUUGACCUGGCUCACGACGAACGCUGGCGGCGUGCUUAACACAUGCAAGUCGAACGGAGUACCCUCGAAAGAGAUUUCGGUCAAUGGAGAGGACUACUUAGUGGCGGACGGGUGAGUAACGCGUGAGGAACCUGCCUUUCAGAGGGGGACAACAGUUGGAAACGACUGCUAAUACCGCAUAACGUACGGGUAUCGCAUGGUACUGGUACCAAAGAUUUAUCGCUGAGAGAUGGCCUCGCGUCUGAUUAGCUAGUUGGUAGGGUAACGGCCUACCAAGGCGACGAUCAGUAGCCGGACUGAGAGGUUGGCCGGCCACAUUGGGACUGAGAUACGGCCCAGACUCCUACGGGAGGCAGCAGUGGGGAAUAUUGGGCAAUGGGCGCAAGCCUGACCCAGCAACGCCGCGUGAAGGAAGAAGGCUUUCGGGUUGUAAACUUCUUUUGACAGGGAAGAGCAGAAGACGGUACCUGUCGAAUAAGCCACGGCUAACUACGU
rnacentral:rRNA from 1 species